rnacentral:rRNA from 1 species
GACGAACGCUGGCGGCGUGCUUAACACAUGCAAGUCGAACGGAAAGGCCCUGCUUUUGUGGGGUGCUCGAGUGGCGAGCGGGUGAGUAACACGUGAGUAACCUGCCCUUGACUUUGGUAUAACUUCAGGAAACUGGGGCUAAUACCGGAUAGGAGCUCCUGCUGCAUGGUGGGGGUUGGAAAGUUUCGGCGGUUGGGGAUGGACUCGCGGCUUAUCAGCUUGUUGGUGGGGUAGUGGCUUACCAAGGCUUUGACGGGUAGCCGGCCUGAGAGGGUGACCGGCCACAUUGGGACUGAGAUACGGCCCAGACUCCUACGGGAGGCAGCAGUGGGGAAUAUUGCACAAUGGGCGGAAGCCUGAUGAAGCAACGCCGCGUGCGGGAUGACGGCCUUCGGGUUGUAAACCGCUUUCGCCUGUGACGAAGCGUGAGUGACGGUAAUGGGUAAAGAAGCACCGGCUAACUACGUG